rnacentral:ncRNA from 1 species
UUAUAGUUUGAUUCUAGCUAACCUGUUAAUUAAGCCUAUCGCGCACAUGCAACCCUAUCGACCCCCGAUUAUGCUUUAGCACAUUAAUUCUCAAUGAAUAUAAUAGCAAAAGCUUAAAACUUUUAUUUCCCGCCUGCAGUGAAAAAUUUUGAGUAAAAUAUUAAAGUAUGAUCCAGAAACUGGCUAUUAGGACUGGUCAAAUUCGUGCCAGCAACCGCGGUUAGACGAAAAGUCCUAGUUAACACCUUCGGGAAGCUGAAAAUCCUAAAACUCGGUAUAAACCAAAAUAUAAGAGGUGCAAUUCGAAAACUUCUAUCUUCACCCUUGAUACCACUAAGUACAUUCAGGACCCCUGAGACAAAAACAAGGAUUAGAGACCCUUCUAUCCUCAGAAGUAAAUUUCAAAACCCGGGGACUAAAAACUCCCAUUUCAAACUCAAAGAUCUUGGCGGCACUUUAACUCCCUAGGGGAACCUGUCCGUGAAACCGAUAAUCCGCGCUAAACCUUCCCUUUGUUUGCCUAACCAGCCUGUGUACUGCCGUCCAACCCCGCUUACUCACCUAAAGAACUCGAAGUAAACCAACCAGACCACCCUACUAUGUCAGGUCGAAGUGCAGCCUAUACAAAGGACGUGAUGGGUUACAACCUUUACUAGAUACAGAGAUUUAAUGAAACAUUAAACCAAAAGGAGGACUUAGAAGUAAUUAUUAUUUAGAACACAAAAAUGAAUACAGCCACCUAGAGUGUGUACACAUCGCCCGUCGCUCUCGCCGAAAGGUGAGAUAAGUCGUAACAUAGUUGGCGCAGUGGAAGCUGUGCCUUUUCAGAA